UACGGAAGGCAGCAGUGGGGAAUAUUGCACAAUGGGCGAAAGCCUGAUGCAGCUAUGCCGCGUGUAUGAAGAAGGCCUUAGGGUUGUAAAGUACUUUCAUCGGGGAGGAAAAAACAAAACUAAUAAUUUUAUUUCUUGACGUUACCCGAAAAAGAAGCACCGGCUAACUCCGUGCCAGCAGCCGCGGUAAUACGGAGGGUGCUAGCGUUAAUCAGAAUUACUGGGCGUAAAGAGCACGUAGGUGGUUUUUUAAGUCAGAUGUGAAAUCCCUGGGCUUAACCUAGGAACUGCAUUUUGAAACUGAAAUACUAGAGUAUCGUAGAGGGAGGUAGAAUUCUAGGUGUAGCGGCGAAAUGCGUAGAUAUCUGGAGGAAUACCUGUGGCGAAAGCGGCCUCCUAAACGAAUACUGACACUGAGGUGCGAAAGCGUGGGGAGCAAACAGGGAUUAGAUACC
rnacentral:rRNA from 1 species